AUGGGCGGCAGCUCCCGGACAGGGGUGGGAAGAUGUGACGGAGAAGGACAGGCUGGGCAGGGUGGCAGGUCGGCGGCUUACGCCGUCGGUGUGGGUCUGGCAAGGUCUCCUUUGCUGCCGCACCUCCGCUCGGCCCCAUCCGUGCCAGGGAAGGGGGGGAACAGGCCGCUUCGCCUGCGCCCUGCGCGUGCAGCCCCACUUCCCGGCCCCCCACCCCCGGCCCCUCUGCUGCCUUGCAAAUGCCGCAAGGGCCCUCAGGGGCUGGGGCGGUUCGGCUGCCUGCGGCCCCCGCCGGGGUCAGACCCCCAGGACGCCCAUGGGGUGGCGGGUGGCCGAGGGUCCCGGGGCAGCCGGGGAAGCGCUGGUGGAAACACCAUGCCCAUGCCAGGGCAGCACCGGGACCCCCGGGGAGUCGUCCCCCACGGCGGUCCCCCCCCCCCGUGUCUUACAGGACGCACCGAGCACCCGGACCCUGCGGGAGGACGAGACACCGGGGGCAGGAUGCAAAACCUCACCAGGAGAGAGCCGAGGCACUGGCGGCGCCUUCCCCUCCUCCGUGGGGGAAGCCGGGGGGGCCCGGGCCCCCCACCGCCGCACCUGGCUGGGCAGGGGGUAAAUCGCCUCCAGGCCCCUUCCCCUCCAUCCCGCGCCUCCUCCAGCAAACGCGGGUCGGCAGCGCUCGGCCCUUGUGCCCCCUCCCGAGCCGCGUGCCGGGGGCAGCUCCCUCUCUCCUGCUUUGCUAAGCCAUCGAAUAAAGCUAACGAGCCACAUGCGGUGGGUGCGUUUAUCCGGGCGGGAUGUUGCACGAGCCUUGGACGGAGAAACCCUGGUUCGCACGCGUGCCCCGGCCGAUGCCGCUGCAGCCCCCAGCCCCGUCGUCCCCUGCGGUGCAGCCCGGGGACGCCGUCCCUCUGCCGCCCCGCGGUGCUCGCAGCUCCCGGACGGGCUCUCGCGGCCGAAAGGGGCUGCAGAGCGGGGCUGGGGACGCCGGCCGGGAAACUCCUGCCUCGGCAGCCCCACGGCAUUUCGGGGCCGGGGGGCUUUGCCCAGCUCAGCCGCCUGCGCGGGAAUCGUCACAGCGCCCAGGUUUUGCCAGCUGCUGGGGAGAGGGUUUGGCCUGGGAAAAGGGGGAUGGAGGGAGCGCAGGGGGAUAGAGAGAGGAUGGGGGGAUGGAGGGAGCACGGGGGGAUGGAGGGAGCACAGGGAGAUGGAGGG
rnacentral:lncRNA from 1 species